rnacentral:rRNA from 1 species
UACGGAGGGUGCGAGCGUUGUCCGGAAUCAUUGGGCGUAAAGGGCGCGUAGGUGGCGGGACAAGCGUGCGGUGAAAGCUCGGGGCUCAACCCCGCGUCGGCCGUGCGAACUGUUUUGCUUGAGCACUGUAGAGGCAGGCGGAAUUCCGGGUGUAGCGGUGGAAUGCGUAGAGAUCCGGAAGGACACCGGUGGCGAAGGCGGCCUGCUGGGCAGUAGCUGACACUGAGGCGCGACAGCGUGGGGAGCAAACAGG